UACGGAGGAUGCGAGCGUUAUCCGGAUUUAUUGGGUUUAAAGGGUGCGUAGGCGGCUUAGUAAGUCAUCGGUGAAAUUUUGCAGCUUAACUGUAACAGUGCCGUUGAUACUGCCAGGCUAGGAUUUGGUUGCUGUGGGUGGAAUGUGUGGUGUAGCGGUGAAAUGCUUAGAUAUCACACAGAAUAUCGAUUGCGAAGGCAGCUCACAAAGCCAAGAUUGACGCUGUGGCACGAAAGUGUGGGGAUCAAACA
rnacentral:rRNA from 1 species